UACGUAGGGGGCGAGCGUUGUCCGGAUUUAUUGGGCGUAAAGAGCGUGUAGGCGGCCAGGUAGGUCUGCUGUGAAAACUUGCAGCUUAACUGUGGGCGUGCGGUCGAUACGGGCAUCACUGGAGUUCGGCAGGGGAGACUGGAAUUCCUGGUGUAGCGGUGAAAUGCGCAGAUAUCAGGAGGAACACCGGUGGCGAAGGCGGGUCUCUGGGCCGAUACUGACGCUGAGGAGCGAAAGCGUGGGGAGCGAACAGG
rnacentral:rRNA from 1 species